GCCAGCAGCUUCUGUAUAUCACCCUGCAACUCACAACUGCCAAAGCACUGAAGCUAAGCAGGUGUGAGCCUGGCCAGUACCUAGUUGGGAGACCUCCCGGGAAAAACUAAGGUUGCUGCUGGAA
rnacentral:rRNA from 1 species